rnacentral:rRNA from 1 species
CCGUACACUCAGGGAUAGCCUUUCGAAAGAAAGAUUAAUACCUGAUAGUAUGGUGAGAUUGCAUGAUAGCACCAUUAAAGAUUUAUUGGUAAACGAUGGGGAUGCGUUCCAUUAGGUAGUAGGCGGGGUAACGGCCCACCUAGCCGACGAUGGAUAGGGGUUCUGAGAGGAAGGUCCCCCACAUUGGAACUGAGACACGGUCCAAACUCCUACGGGAGGCAGCAGUGAGGAAUAUUGGUCAAUGGGCGAGAGCCUGAACCAGCCAAGUAGCGUGAAGGAUGAAGGUCCUACGGAUUGUAAACUUCUUUUAUACGGGAAUAAAGUAUCCUACGUGUAGGAUUUUGCAUGUACCGUAUGAAUAAGCAUCGGCUAACUCCGUGCCAGCAGCCGCGGUAAUACGGAGGAUGCGAGCGUUAUCCGGAUUUAUUGGGUUUAAAGGGAGCGCAGACGGGAGAUUAAGUCAGUUGUGAAAGUUUGCGGCUCAACCGUAAAAUUGCAGUUGAUACUGGUUUCCUUGAGUGCAGUUGAGGCAGGCGGAAUUCGUGGUGUAGCGGUGAAAUGCUUAGAUAUCAUGAAGAACCCCGAUUGCGAAGGCAGCUUGCUAAACUGUAACUGACGUUCAUG